GUCCUCCCAACAGAACAAACCCCCCGGCGUAAAAUGCGCCAAGGAAUCUUAAAUGAAAAGAGAAGGUAACCAGCACCCUAGCGUGCCGGGAAAGGAAUUUCCCAGGGGGGGUGGGUUCCUUUGUUAAAAAAUUAAUGAAUUUUCGCAACGGAAUAUUUUGCUCCUCCCUCCAUUAAAAAACUAACCAAAUGGCAUUCUUGGGGGGGAUUGGCAAAUCCCCGGGAACCUCCAGUUUUUUAACGCCAGUUGGCCCCAAAGGCUUUCGGGCGAAGGGAAGUCUGGCUGGGUGGCCUGGACCGGUGGCCCCUUCCACUUCCUUUGGGGGGAAAAUCGAAUUAGGGGCGAAAAUGGGCCUCCCUGGGGCCCCGGUUCCCGGUGGGCCAAAUUUGAAUCCGUGGUGGAAAUGGCCCC
rnacentral:rRNA from 1 species